rnacentral:tRNA from 1 species
CAAAAAAUAGUUUAAUUUAAAACUUUAAUUUUGGAGAUUAAAAAUAUAAAUUUUUUAUUUUUUUGA